GUCUGGGUGGCUUAGUUGGUUAAGCACCUGACUUUGGCUCUCAGGUCAUGAUCUCAACGGCUCCUGGGGUUCAAGCCCCACAUCAGACU
rnacentral:tRNA from 1 species